GCCGAAGUGGCGGAAUGGCAGACGCGACGGUCUCAAACACCGUUGAGUGCAAGCUCGUGCGGGUUCGAAUCCCGCCUUCGGCACCA
rnacentral:tRNA from 1 species